AAAAAAGUAGUAAAUAAGUAGCAAUUUAGUCCAUUAAUAGUCGUCAAUUAGUCACAUAACUUUACGACAAU
rnacentral:sRNA from 1 species